CUGACCUUGCACGAUGUCUUUCUGAACUCCCCCGACCGUCUGAGCUUCCGCAAUGCCAUCCGAACUUCUCCAAUAAUGAGCUCCCCCAUUCAUCUAUCGGGCUGCUCCAAACGCUUUCCUUGCUUCUCCAAUAGCAGGACGUCUAUAGUAACCAAACUCCAUCUAAGUUUCUACAGUGGUCGACCGUCUUCUGAAUUUCAUCUG
rnacentral:lncRNA from 1 species